rnacentral:misc_RNA from 1 species
CUCGCUCAAGAGGCUUCGAGGCUUGCUCGAUACAACAAGAAGCCCACCAUCACUUCCCGGGAGAUUCAGACUGCUGUUAGGUUGGUUCUUCCUGGAGAGCUUGCUAAACAUGCUGUUUCUGAAGGGACCAAGGCUGUUACUAAGUUCACUAGUUCAUAAAUUUAGGGUAUCUAAAGUUUCUUAUGGAUCUAUAUUGGGUGUUUAAGAAUUGGCCUAGUGGUGAUUAGGGAUCUAGGGUUUUU